UCAGUCUGCCGGUCUGCCGCUCGCCAACAGGCGGGAGGAAAGUCCGGGCAACACAGAGCACCGCACUUCUUAACGGGAAGCUGUCCGCGAGGGUAGAGCAGCGUAACAGAAAAUAACCGCCGGAUAUUUCGGUAAGGGUGAAAAGGCGAGGUAAAAGCUCACCAGGUUUCAUAGUAAUAUGGAAUGUUGUACGUCUUGCGGGUUGUAAGGUCAUGUACACCGGCGUUACAGGGUUGCUCGCCCGAUGCCGGGGGGUAGACCGCUAAAGCUUAUCGGCAACGGUAAGACGAGAUAAAUGGCAGGCACCUUCUCGCGGGAAGGAACAGAACCCGGCUUACAGGCAGACUGUUUUU
rfam:Bacteroidales bacterium Barb4 Barb4_contig_121, whole genome shotgun sequence.